rfam:Asian citrus Psyllid, Diaphorina citri - Florida Strain, whole genome shotgun sequence.
GCUCCCAUGGCGUAGUGGUCACUGCACUCGCCUUGCACGCGGGAGACCCGGGUUCGAUUCCCGGCGAGGUCA